rnacentral:rRNA from 1 species
UACAGAGGGUGCAAGCGUUGUUCGGAUUUACUGGGCGUAAAGGGCGCGUAGGCGGCUUGUCAAGUCACUUGUGAAAUCUCUGGGCUUAACCCAGAACGGCCAAGUGAAACUGACAUGCUAGAGUGCAGAAGGGGCAAUCGGAAUUCUUGGUGUAGCGGUGAAAUGCGUAGAUAUCAAGAGGAACACCUGAGGUGAAGACGGGUUGCUGGGCUGACACUGACGCUGAGGCGCGAAAGCCAGGGGAGCAAACGGG